rnacentral:rRNA from 1 species
UACGUAGGGGGCAAGCGUUGUCCGGAAUCAUUGGGCGUAAAGAGCGUGUAGGCGGUUCAGUAAGUCUGCUGUGAAAGUCCAAGGCUCAAUCUUGGGAUGCCGGUGGAUACUGCUGAGCUAGAGUACGGAAGAGGCGAGUGGAAUUCCCGGUGUAGCGGUGAAAUGCGCAGAUAUCGGGAGGAACACCUAUUGCGAAGGCAGCUCGCUGGGACGUCACUGACGCUGAGACGCGAAAGCGUGGGGAGCAAACAGG